GACGAACGCUGGCGGCGUGCUUAACACAUGCAAGUCGAACGGAAAGGCCCUGCUUUUGUGGGGUGCUCGAUUGGCGAACGGGUGAGUAACACGUGAGUAACCUGCCCUUGACUUUGGGAUAACUUCAGGAAACUGGGGCUAAUACCGGAUAGGAGCUCCUGCUGCAUGGUGGGGGUUGGAAAGUUUCGGCGGUUGGGGAUGGACUCGCGGCUUAUCAGCUUGUUGGUGGGGUAGUGGCUUACCAAGGCUUUGACGGGUAGCCGGCCUGAGAGGGUGACCGGCCACAUUGGGACUGAGAUACGGCCCAGACUCCUACGGGAGGCAGCAGUGGGGAAUAUUGCACAAUGAGCGGAAGCCUGAUGCAGCAACGCCGCGUGCGGGAUGACGGCCUUCGGGUUGUAAACCGCUUUCGCCUGUGACGAAGCGUGAGUGACGGUAAUGGGUAAAGAAGCACCGGCUAACUACGUG
rnacentral:rRNA from 1 species